UGCAAAGCAGAAUUGCUCAGAUGUUAUAGAGAGAUUGAACAAAGCAAGCUGCCUUAUAGUCAGGGUUGUGGUAGAACAUCUGCGUUGCAUGCAGAAGGACCCAGGUUCAAUCCCCAGCAUCUCCAGGUAGGGCUGGCUCCUGUGAAGCCCUGGAGAGCCACUGCCAGUCAGUGUUGACCAUACUGAGCCACAUAGACCAAUAGUCUGACUCAGUUGUCAGUAGCUAGUUCUUAGGGAAGCACAAAUUUCUGCAGAAACGUGAGCAUCAUACUUCUCUGAAAUUUAUGGAACACAGGCAGAACAGGAACUUUCAGAAACAGUCGCUAGUAUUUAUUGAUAGCUACAAUAUAUUCUCCACGAGUUUCUGUAAUCCUCUAAGUGUUGCUUUGCCAGUGCAUUCCUAGUGCGGAACAGGCUUGUGAGGCAGCCACUCCCCUUACCCCACAGGUCAACUUUUACAGGUGGGCCAGACCACCCACCUGUCACCUGACAUCAUCAUGACAUCAGACGAUUGGCAGGAGCUGAUGAAGUUGGAGUCCAACAGCAUCUGGUGUGUGUGAUGACAAUAAAGAUAACUCGAUCUACGGGAUUAACAAGGUGUACAAUGGGGAUGUGAAACCUUUGGCCUUCCAGAUAUUGCUGGCGUUGGUAAGCAGGAAGAGACAUGCCGCAGGCCACCUGAAUGAAGCUCACAGACCACUGUGGACCCAUGGACCAUCGUUCAGGAACUCUGACCCUAAUAUAUGCUUUUUUGCACACAUUACUUGGCUGGAGACCUGCACUGAAGAAGUGAAAACUUCAGAAGAUGGUUGGGUUUCAGUUCGCAAACAGUUUCGGAAAGUGCAAAGUUUGCCUUUAAAUGCAAAUCGAAUGUAAUUUCUCCCCCAUCUCUCGCAGGCAGUACAGAGCCAAGUGGACCAGGGUCUGACCUGGUAUAAGGCAACCUCCCGUGUUCCCAACAAUCCAAGUUCAAAACAUGCUGAAUCUUUUAGGACAGACCAGUUCGAGAUCUCUUUAGGUGGCGUUCACUAGAAACAUGGAGGCAGCCUAGCACUGAGGCCAGAGACACAGUGUUUGUGCUUCAGUGCAUCUCCAGCUCUGUUUUCUGAAGUUGCAGACACACGACACUGGUCAAACUCUGCCCCUUUUUACUCCAAAACCGGGGGAAAUGCAGCACCAGUGCGUUUCUCCAUGAAAUCAGUUUCGCGCCAAAAUAAAAACUGUUUGUUGGAUCAACUCAUUACCACUCCGUGGUGUGUCCAAUGAAAACGCUUUGCUGUUGGUUAGGCAGAGACAGUGAUUGGCUCAAAGAUUGCUGUGGGCAGUCCUAAAAGUUUUGAGCUCAGCUGCGGGGAAGGGAGAACCUAGGCUAAGAUGAAAUGCUGCAAACCUCUUAAAGGCAGAGUUCCAGCCCCAACAUGGAAUGCUAUUUCGAGAAGAAACAUAUUAUCUGGAGGCAAGAGAACAGGCCAUGCCGCUAAAUUUCUUUGUCAACUCCAGUUACCAAACUCGACAGUCUUUUCAAUGUUACCGUUUCGGUGUAGGUGUCCGGGCAAACAGUCUUGCACCCAAACGCAGCAGUGGAAAUAGUGAUGCAGAACUCCAGGAUGUUGAAAACCAGGAAAAUAGCCAUGGUUCCAAGCGUUAUAUCCUGCCAAUGAAGCAGACAACCCAGCAAAUGAAAUCACUCUCCAGUACCAGGGAUCGAAUCCCUACUCUUCCAUGAAAUGGUCUGGGUGACCUUGCACCAGUCACUGCCUCUCAGCCUAACCUACCUCACAGGGUUGUUGUGAGGAUAAAAUCGGGAGGGGGAGAACCAUGUAUACCUCCUUGAGCUCCUUCAAGGAAAGGUGGGAUAUAAUACUUCUAACGGGUGGUAUUCAACGCUAGUCAUACUCAAAGCAGACCCACUGACGUUAAUGGGCAUGACUAACUUAGGUUGAUUAUUUCACUGGGUCUACUCUGAGUAGGGCUGAGUUGAAUACCACCCAAUAACAAUACACAUAGACACGCAAUGUCCCCUGGGCACUGUUAGAGACCAGGCAGAGCUGCCUAACUUGGCUGCCACCCUCAUGGACCAUAUGGGGGUUGUGGUUGUCUUAAGGACCCUUUCAGGAUAAUGAGGAAUGCAGCAGUCUUAACCGGCUGCAGCAAUCCCAAAGCAAAGUCAUCGCCCCUCCUAAUGCCCACACAGUUCUGAGCUCUCAUCACGUCACAGCCUCAUCAUAAGGAAUUAUAUCGAUGAUGCAAUAAAGAAGGUUCUCUCCUCAGGGACAGGCCCUCCAGGAGCUGGGACACGUCCUUUCAUCCAGAAUGCUUUUGAACUGGCACAAGCCAACGGAUCCCAUCCCUAGCAAACGGCAUUGCAAAACUGUGAAUUUCAAAGAAUUGCUGUCUCAGAUCUCAUAUUGUUUCAGAAAGUGCAAAGUUGACCGAUUUGGCUUCAAAUGUGAACUGAAUCAAAUUUCUUGCCUGUCCCUAUCAGGAACUGAACCUUGACUCUUCUGCAUGCAAAGCAGAUGAUCUACUAACCUCCUAUGGCCCUUCCCUUAUCCCACAUUUUACAGAGCAUUUUCCCAUUAUUUGCCAUAUCACAAAAACCAUCUGGAUUACUAUCACGGCAUCUAUAGUUUACCUCCCAUUGUACAUUGUAAUAGAAAUGAUCCACUGCAAAAGAGAGGAAAAUGAUCCCAAUGCCGGCUGCCACGGUGCUCACCACAUUCAUUCCAAGCAUGCCUUUCACCUAAUGGUGAGAAACAGUGAUAUAUUAUUAUUUCAUUCAGCGAUCGUGGCUCCGUUGUCCUCUCCAAUAGCAAAAAUAACCCUGAGGCAUCCACCCGGUAUUUUGCCCUGCUAUGGGAUCUGCUAGAAACAGCCUAAAGUAGCCUGGAGAAGGUUUCCCUAGAGACCUCUCUUGAUGAAGUUUCCAGACUCUGAACCUGGAAUAAGCAACCUGGAGGUUUUUAUCUUGUUUUUAUAAAUUGCCUUGGAAGCAUUGCUGAAAACUUUGGAAUAAAUGAAAA